rnacentral:rRNA from 1 species
ACGAACGCUUGCGGCGUGCCUAAGAAAUGCAAGUCGAACGGGCAUGGACUUCGGUUCGUGUCAGUGGGCGAACGGUCGCGUAACACGUAAGCAAACCUGCCCAGAAGUGGGGGAUAACGGCCCGAAAGGGCCGCUAAUACCGCAUGUGGUCCGGGGGCGGCAUCUCCCCUGGUCUAAAGAUUCAUUGCUUCUGGAUGGGCUUGCGGCCUAUCAGAGUAGUUGGUGGGGUAACGGCCUACCAAGCCCGUGACGGGAUAGCUGGUCUGAGAGGACGAUCAGCCGGAUUGGGACUGAGAUACGGCCCAGACUCCUACGGGGGGCAGCAAUUAGGAAUCUUGCGACAAUGAGCGAAAGCUUGACGCCAGCGACGCCCGCGUGCGGGACGAAGGCAUUCGUGUCGUAAACCGCUUUUCUCAGGGAAGAAGUAUGUGACGGCUACCUGAGGAAUAAGGCCCCGGCUAACUACGCUGCCAGCAGCCGCGGUAAUACGUAGGGGGCGAGCGUUGUCCGAAGUUACUGGGCGUAAAGGCGCGCGUAGGCGGUCUCUUAAGUCUGGGGUGAAAUGGUUCAGCCGCUCAAGCGCGAACAGUGCCUUGGAGACUGGGGGACUUGAGUGUGGGAGGGGGGCAGUGGAAUUCCGGGUGUAGCGGUGAAAUGCGUAGAGAUCCGGAGGAACACCGAUGGCGAAGGCAGCUGCCUGGCCUAACACUGACGCUGAGGUGCGAAAGCGUGGGGAGCGAACGGGAUUAGAUACCCCGGUAGUCCACGCCGUAAAGCGAUGAGUGCCUAGGUGUCCGGCGUGGUAUCGACCCCCCGGGUGCUGCGCCGCCAACGCUAGUAAGCACUCCGCCUUGGUGAGUACGGCCGCAAGGUUGAAACUCAAAGGAAGUGACGGGGGCCCGCACAAGCGGUGGAGGGCAUGUGGAUUAAUUCGUCAUCUAACCGAAGAACCUUACCCAGGCUUGACAUUGAGAGGUAAGCCGGUGAAAGGAAGCCGGCCCUCCCAGCAAGGGACCCGAAAACAGGUGUUGCAUGGCUGUGCUCAGCUCGUGUCGUGAGAUGUUGGGUUAAGUCCCGCAACCGAGCGCAACCCUCACCGUAUGUUUGCCAGCGUAAGUCGGGCACUCUUACGGAACUGCCCGUGGCAAGCGGGAGGAAGGUGGGGACGACGUCAAGUCGGCAUGGCCCUUACGCCUGGGGCUUCACACAUGCUACAAUGGGGCGGCACAGAGGGCAGCAGCUAACCAGCGAGGGGGCGCGAAUCCCAAAAAGCCGUCCUCAGUUCGGAUUGGCAGGCUGGCAACUCGCCUGCAUGAAGCCGGAAUCGCCUAGUAACCGCCGGUCAGCCAAACGGCGGUGAAUACGUUCCCGGGCCUUGUACACCACCGCCCGUCAAGUCACCUGAAUUGUCUUGCACACCGAAGCCGGUUGGCUCAACCGCAAGGAGAGAGCCGUCUAAGGUGUGGGGAGUAAGGGGGACU